rnacentral:lncRNA from 1 species
GCCCUUAAUUCCUAAACUGUUCAGCCCUCAACUCCCAAAAUCAUUCCCAACCUUCCUUUUGUGGUCAUAAACCUUGUGUUUAAAUUUCAUUGAUUUCUAUUUACUUAUACUAAAGUUAUUGUGCGAAAACCAAGAAUAAUGCUUAUUUGGGCCCUUUUUGGCCCCUAAUUCCUAAACUGUUUGAACUAAAACUCCCAAAAUCAAUCCCAA